rnacentral:rRNA from 1 species
CCUACGGGAGGCAGCAGUGGGGAAUAUUGCACAAUGGGGGAAACCCUGAUGCAGCGACGCCGCGUGAGUGAAGACGUAAUUCGUUAUGUUAAGCUCUAUCAGCAGGGAAGUAAAUGACGGUACCUGAGUAAGAUUCCCCGUCGAACUACGUGCCAGCAGCCGCGGUAAUACGUAGGGGGCAAGCGUUAUCCGGAUUUUCUGGGGGUUAAGGGAGCGUAGACGGCUGUGCAAGUCUGGAGUGAAAGGCGGGGGCUCAACCCCCGGACUGCUCUGGAAACUGGACGGCUGGAGUGCAGGAGAGGUAAGUGGAAUUCCUGGUGUAGCGGUGAAAUGCGUAGAUAUUAGGAGGAACACCAGUGGCGAAGGCGGCUUACUGGACUGUAACUGACGUUGAGGCUCGAAAGCGUGGGGAGCAAACAGGAUUAGAUACCCCUGUAGUC